UACGUAGGGGGCUAGCGUUGUCCGGAAUUAUUGGGCGUAAAGAGCUCGUAGGCGGCCGGUUGCGUCUGCUGUGAAAUCCCGGGGCUUAACCCCGGGCGUGCAGUGGAUACGGGCCAGCUGGAGGCAGGCAGGGGAGAAUGGAAUUCCCGGUGUAGCGGUGAAAUGCGUAGAUAUUGGGAGGAACACCAGUGGCGAAGGCGGCUCACUGGACUGGUACUGACGCUGAUGCGCGAAAGCGUGGGGAGCAAACAGG
rnacentral:rRNA from 1 species